rnacentral:rRNA from 2 species
GAACGAACUCUGGUAUUGAUUGGUGCUUGCAUCAUGAUUUACAUUUGAGUGAGUGGCGAACUGGUGAGUAACACGUGGGAAACCUGCCCAGAAGCGGGGGAUAACACCUGGAAACAGAUGCUAAUACCGCAUAACAACUUGGACCGCAUGGUCCGAGCUUGAAAGAUGGCUUCGGCUAUCACUUUUGGAUGGUCCCGCGGCGUAUUAGCUAGAUGGUGGGGUAACGGCUCACCAUGGCAAUGAUACGUAGCCGACCUGAGAGGGUAAUCGGCCACAUUGGGACUGAGACACGGCCCAAACUCCUACGGGAGGCAGCAGUAGGGAAUCUUCCACAAUGGACGAAAGUCUGAUGGAGCAACGCCGCGUGAGUGAAGAAGGGUUUCGGCUCGUAAAACUCUGUUGUUAAAGAAGAACAUAUCUGAGAGUAACUGUUCAGGUAUUGACGGUAUUUAACCAGAAAGCCACGGCUAACUACGUGCCAGCAGCCGCGGUAAUACGUAGGUGGCAAGCGUUGUCCGGAUUUAUUGGGCGUAAAGCGAGCGCAGGCGGUUUUUUAAGUCUGAUGUGAAAGCCUUCGGCUCAACCGAAGAAGUGCAUCGGAAACUGGGAAACUUGAGUGCAGAAGAGGACAGUGGAACUCCAUGUGUAGCGGUGAAAUGCGUAGAUAUAUGGAAGAACACCAGUGGCGAAGGCGGCUGUCUGGUCUGUAACUGACGCUGAGGCUCGAAAGUAUGGGUAGCAAACAGGAUUAGAUACCCUGGUAGUCCAUACCGUAAACGAUGAAUGCUAAGUGUUGGAGGGUUUCCGCCCUUCAGUGCUGCAGCUAACGCAUUAAGCAUUCCGCCUGGGGAGUACGGCCGCAAGGCUGAAACUCAAAGGAAUUGACGGGGGCCCGCACAAGCGGUGGAGCAUGUGGUUUAAUUCGAAGCUACGCGAAGAACCUUACCAGGUCUUGACAUACUAUGCAAAUCUAAGAGAUUAGACGUUCCCUUCGGGGACAUGGAUACAGGUGGUGCAUGGUUGUCGUCAGCUCGUGUCGUGAGAUGUUGGGUUAAGUCCCGCAACGAGCGCAACCCUUAUUAUCAGUUGCCAGCAUUAAGUUGGGCACUCUGGUGAGACUGCCGGUGACAAACCGGAGGAAGGUGGGGAUGACGUCAAAUCAUCAUGCCCCUUAUGACCUGGGCUACACACGUGCUACAAUGGAUGGUACAACGAGUUGCGAACUCGCGAGAGUAAGCUAAUCUCUUAAAGCCAUUCUCAGUUCGGAUUGUAGGCUGCAACUCGCCUACAUGAAGUCGGAAUCGCUAGUAAUCGCGGAUCAGCAUGCCGCGGUGAAUACGUUCCCGGGCCUUGUACACACCGCCCGUCACACCAUGAGAGUUUGUAACACCCAAAGUCGGUGG